rnacentral:rRNA from 1 species
GUGAAGAAGGCCUUUGGGUUGUAAAACUCUUUCGUCGGGGAAGAAAAUGACUGUACCCGAAUAAGAAGGUCCGGCUAACUUCGUGCCMGCAGCCGCGGUAAUACGAAGGGACCUAGCGUASAUUCGGAAUUACUGGGCUUAAAGAGCUCGUAGGUGGUUAAAAAAGUUGAUGGUGAAAUCCCAAGGCUCAACCUUGGAACUGCCAUCAAAACUUUUUAGCUAGAGUGUGAUAGAGGUAAGUGGAAUUUCUAGUGUAGAGGUGAAAUUCGUAGAUAUUAGAAAGAACACCAAAUGCGAAGGCAACUUACUGGGUCACUACUGACACUGAGGAGCGAAAGCAUGGGUAGCGAAGAGGAUUAGAUACCCUCGUAGUCCAUGCCGUAUACGAUGUGUGCUAGACGUUGGAAAUAUAUUUUU